ensembl:snoRNA LOC120095439 small nucleolar RNA SNORA48
AACACCUGAAACUGGGCAAAGAGACUUGUUGUUGGUAUUGUUCUCAUAUCAGUCAAGGGCAGAGCAGAUGACAGUUCUUGUUAAUCCUAGCUUGACGUAUAGCAUGAUUGCCAGAGCUGUCUUAUGCCUAGGACAUCCAA